GUGGGGAAUCUUGCGCAAUGGGCGAAAGCCUGACGCAGCCAUGCCGCGUGAAUGAUGAAGGUCUUAGGAUUGUAAAAUUCUUUCACCGGGGACGAUAAUGACGGUACCCGGAGAAGAAGCCCCGGCUAACUUCGUGCCAGCAGCCGCGGUAAUACGAGGGGGGCUAGCGUUGCUCGGAAUUACUGGGCGUAAAGGGCGCGUAGGCGGACAGUUUAUUCAGAGGUGAAAGCCCAGGGCUCAACCUUGGAAUUGCCUUUGAUACUGGCUGUCUUGAGUACGGGAGAGGUGAGUGGAACUCCGAGUGUAGAGGUGAAAUUCGUAGAUAUUCGGAAGAACACCAGUGGCGAAGGCGACUCACUGGCCCGUUACUGACGCUGAGGCGCGAAAGCGUGGGGAGCAAACAGGAUUAGAAACCCGUGUAGUCC
rnacentral:rRNA from 1 species